GUUGAUUGGGUGUUAUUGCAUAUUAAUUUUUCGUGUUAAUGGAGAGGUUGUGGCCUCAGUCAAUG
rnacentral:tRNA from 1 species